GCAGAUGUGCUUGCACCGAUUUCCUGCUGAGAGUCCAUGAGCGUCUCGAGGAUUUGGAUAGGUUGAGCCUUUAUUGGCCUUUUAAGAUCUCUUCCUAGACCUCAGGGGUGUCACUGAAUUGGAUCCAUUAUAACCCUCCAUUCAUCUGCUUGGCUCUCCACAGACUCACACAUGUGCUCAGAGGCCGAGUCGCCCUACGUGCCGCCAGCCCGGGGCAUGCGUGUUCAUGUCAUGUCAUGAUCUGUUCAAAGUACUGUCAUCAGCAACAAAGCAUGACUUGGCACAUGGGCAAAACUGCACCAACCACCAUGCAUGGACACAGCACCCAUCUAGCCCUGACCUGGUGGUUUGUUUGCGUCCCCUUGCUUUGCCCCAUCCAAAGAGGAUGGGGGGGUUCAGUGUGUAAAAAAAUAAAGUCUGGUCUCGUAGAUAA